GGUGACUCUCCAACCCUAUGUUAAUUAUACCUUUGUUGCUUUGGCGAGCCGCUCCGGCCACCGGCUUCUCGCUGGUGAGUGCUCGCCAGAGGACCCUAAACUCUGUUAUACAUGUCGUCUGAGUACUAUAUAAUAGUUAAAACUUUCAACAACGGAUCUCUUGGUUCUGGCAUCGAUGAAGAACGCAGCGAAAUGCGAUAAGUAAUGUGAAUAGCAGAAUUUAGUGAAUCAUCGAAUCUUUGAACGCACAUUGCGCCCUGUGGUAUUCCGCAGGGCAUGCCUGUUCGAGCGUCAGUACAUCACUCAAGCCUAGCUUGGUCUUGGGCCUCGCCGGAAACGGCGGGCCUUAAAAUCAGUGGCGGUGUCUGUUAGGCCCUAAGCGUAGUAAUACUCCUCGCUACAGGGACCCGGCGGGUGCUGGCCAGCAACCCCCAACUUUCUAAGUUUGACCUCGGAUCAGGUAGGGAUACCCGCUGAACUUAAGCAUAUCAAUAA
rnacentral:rRNA from 1 species